UGAUAGAAUAAGUAAGAAAACGGCGCUUUUCCCUCUCCGCCGCCGGUCCCGGUUCGCCCGGAUCGGAAACGGAGCGAAACGGGCCGGUUCGCGUUGAACAUCGGAGCGCGGGAGGAGCGCGCGCGCGGGGUUGUUUAUCUGUAGUAAGGGGAACUUGAAACCGCCGCCCCCCCCACCCCCCUUUGCCCCAUGUCCUCGGUUGUUUUCCUUCUUUCGCCUGGAUUCUCCAUGUUGUCGGAGCAGAACCGAGGGGCUUCCACUCUCCACCGCGGGGGGCUCGGGGUAAACACACACCGCACGGCGGAGAAAGCGGGGACCAUGAGCCCGGAGAAGAGCUGAUAAGAGGACAACAAAACACGAAGUGCCAUGCCCCUCCCCUGUGGAAGGCGGGAAUAAGUCCGUAUUAAAAACAAGAUAAACAGCGCAGCGCUGUUUGUGCAGUUGGGGCGGAAGGUAGAUUUGUUAAUGUCGAGCUGGUCGCAGACCUGGCUAGAUAAUGUUUUAAUGUGUUUUUUUUGGGGGGGGGGGGGGGGGCGGAUGUUGUGUGCGUUAGAUGGAAGUUUCUGUCUAUCAUCGCACAAGUGCAGAGAGAGCGCGAGAGGGAGGGAGGAGGUUCAGCUGGCGUCGAAAACAGAUAUGGCAGACUGUUCCUUGAAUCAAAAGCCUGGAUGUCAAAGCACCUUUAAAGAACUCAGCUUUUUGCCUUCAAGCUCAGGAUGCCCAGCAGCAAAGCAGCACCUUCCCAUGAUGCCUUGUUAGUGCCGGAGGACAAAAGGACUGUUGCCAAGAUUAACUCGGACGGUAGGGUGAAGUGAUUCUGCGUUGAGCAGUGAAAAAUUCAGUCCUCUCCGUAAAGACUGCCAUGUGGAGAUUAAACGGACAGCACAGCUGCAGCUUGUUAAAAGAUCCCAGCUGAAUGUGUGGUCAUAGACCUGGACACGAUGCUGGGGCAUAGCUUGCUGAAGGGUGUACGCAGUGCACAGCGGAUCUCUCUGAGUCUGUGGAGACUGAGGCGCCCCCACACAGCAGCUCAUGGAGAGAGGAGGAAAGCUGGGGAUGAACGUGUAGUUUCGAAACUUUCAAUCAAGACCAUGUUUAUGUUUGGUGGAGUGUUAAAGAGCUGAGCUGCCUCAGCCAGGAGCCCAAGACCCUUAUCCUGGACGAAUCGUCCACCCUGAGAGCUCCAUUCCAGGGCCUUCAUUUGAUGGACGAUGGCGAGUUUGGCAGACCAGAGCGCCACUGAACCCAGAGAGCUCUAGAUCAAGACCCAUCGAGAUACUGCGUCUUACUUGGUCCCUGAAAUAUACUAACCUCCCUAUUGAGUACCUGACACAAACAAAAACACAUUCACACACGACUGUAGACACAUAAACAGAGGUCUGGUUACACUCAUAGAAGCUUUCUUCAUAAUUUCCCAUUUCACAGUAAUGGUGUUAAUUGGUUUUAGCUAAAAUUGUAAGUAUGAAAAAUUUGGUAACGUUUUGGAGGCUUUGUCAUUAUGUUGUUAGUGCCAAAAUGGAGUGUUCAGUCAUUUAUUUCAAUAACAAACAUAAUUAAGAUAUAGGCUUCAAAGGAUUUUAGCCUGAAGUCCAAGUCAGUUAAAGGUCUGAAAGGGCUUUAAACUCUGACUUUGAAGCACUUCGGUAGAAUGAGCCGUAUAUUCCGCCGCGUUCCGAACUCGAAGGCGUUGUUCUCUGGAUGCGGCGCAUGACGGAGUCUAAUAAACUUGAAUAAAUUCUUAUACUGAAGGACCGAA